CCUACGGGAGGCAGCAGUGAGGAAUAUUGGUCAAUGGACGAGAGUCUGAACCAGCCAAGUAGCGUGAAGGAUGACUGCCCUAUGGGUUGUAAACUUCUUUUAUAUGGGAAUAAAAUGUUCCACGUGUGGGAUUUUGUAUGUACCAUAUGAAUAAGGAUCGGCUAACUCCGUGCCAGCAGCCGCGGUAAUACGGAGGAUCCGAGCGUUAUCCGGAUUUAUUGGGUGUAAAGGGAGCGUAGGUGGAUUGUUAAGUCAGUUGUGAAAGUUUGCGGCUCAACCGUAAAAUUGCAGUUGAAACUGGCAGUCUUGAGUACAGUAGAGGUGGGCGGAAUUCGUGGUGUAGCGGUGGAAUGCUUAGAUAUCACGAAGAACUCCGAUUGCGAAGGCAGCUCACUGGACUGCAACUGACACUGAGGCUCGAAAGUGUGGGUAUCAAACAGGAUUAGAUACCCCUGUAGUC
rnacentral:rRNA from 1 species